GCUGAGGCGUUUGAACUUGAAUUGUUAGACAGUAGAAAGCCCCUGAAGGUUUUUUCCUCCAAGAGUGACACGAUCAGAGAGGAGUUUGAGGAAUACUCAUCUGGGAGGGGUGUCUGAAGAUGGAGUGGACACACCGGACAGCAGCGAGGGGGGUGUCACAGUCAUGAAACUGUUAAGGACUGGAAUGCAGGUGAAGAUUUACAAGAGGAUCCCUGCCUUCGAGGAGUCCAUGAGCAACGGAACAGCCUCCUAUGUUGGCUACUUUUACAGAGAUAACGUUGAUUUUUUUCUAAUUUCAUAUGUUUCAUUUUCUCCCUUUGAGACAGAGACAUUAAAGUCUUACUAAACAAC